AAUAGGCUGGCGUAGAGGAGGAUGUUGGGGGCGUCACUACUGGAUUAGAGCAUGUGAGUGGCUGCACUGAAAAUUGGAAGGUCUAUCCCAUGGCCUUCCUGGCAGCGAGGUUGGGAGCGAUGUAUAUAUACAUACAGCAAUGUAUUUCAGAUUCCUCAAACCCUGUGAUUUCCUCCACUCUACAAGAAGCCACUGAAAGAUUCAGGUGCACAGAGGAGAAGCAGCAGAGUGGCAGAGAAACUGUCAAUCAAAACUAACUGAGGUGUAUUAAAAAAAAGGAAGGAGGAGAGCUAUUCAGGGCAAUCAUCGGCGAACAAAAGCUAGAAUGAUAAUAAUAAAAAGCCUAGACAUCAGGAAAAAAAUAUUCCUACCAGUGAGGUCAAUGAGGCAAUGGAAUAAUUUACCUAGGGGAUUAGCCAAGGGACCAUCAGAAGAUGUACUCAAGCAGAAAUCAGCUUUAACAUUUUGAGAGACCUCUCCCUCUGCGUAGAGUUCAGGAGCCACUUAUAGACAGUUGUUGCAACCUAUAACAUAGGAGCCAUCCACCUUCUCUGCUUUCAUGCAAAAGAUUAAAGACACCAAUCCAGACACACAACAGCACUUGCAACAAGCCCAGACAAAAAGGACAAGGGAUAUGACAAGCCCAGGCAAAGACUCAGCAGGUAUAGUCACCAAUUCAACAAGCCCAGGAAGAGACUAACAACAACUAUAGCAGACGCCACAUGACUGCAAACACUCAGCAGCAAUCUUUAAUACACUGAAUGUACAGUUUUGUAACCAAGAAGACAGAAUUGUUAUAUGCAGAGAGAAAGGCUGUUACUAAAAUAUAGGAGAUAACAAUCUUCACCUUCUUUUAUCUAUAUCU